rnacentral:rRNA from 1 species
UACGAAGGGGGCUAGCGUUGCUCGGAAUCACUGGGCGUAAAGCGCACGUAGGCGGAUUGUUAAGUCAGGGGUGAAAUCCUGGAGCUCAACUCCAGAACUGCCUUUGAUACUGGCGAUCUCGAGUCCGGGAGAGGUGAGUGGAACUGCGAGUGUAGAGGUGAAAUUCGUAGAUAUUCGCAAGAACACCAGUGGCGAAGGCGGCGCACUGGCCCGGUACUGACGCUGAGGUGCGAAAGCGUGGGGAGCAAACAGG